GGUAGUUUGAAGGAACUAGAAUCGUCCAAUGAUUGCAAGAAUACAGUCUAUGUCUUGGAGGAAAUUCAAGUGCUUUUGAAGAGUAGAUAAAUGUGUAGAGAAUAAUAACAGAAAACGCUGGGAAUUUUAUCCAGCUCAAAUGUACUUGCCUUUCAGAAAGUAAUUAAAAAGAAAAUGGUUUCAAACAAAAAAGAACCUGUGUUGUCCCCAUGCUGAGGAGUUAGAAUCAUUCCUGAGGGUCUGUAGAGCUGUCUGGGAUCAUCUAGUGCAGUGCUCUGCAACUUGACCUUGAUAGGAAGGGAAAAAAUGCAUUAUUCGAUGAGAUUAAGUGCAUGCCAACAUAUGUAUUUUACUAAUAUUACUCCAGUCCUGCAAACUCAUGGUUCCAUUUGAAACUUGGAAAGUAUUUUCCAUUAUGUUUUAUGUACUUUGUGUAAUGAGCUGUUUGUGAAUCACUAAAUUGCUCCCAGAGCCCUGUAAUUGAGGGAUCACCGAUCUCACAUGGUCUGCAGAGCCUUACAAGGUCUAUGGUUUUGGGGAUCUCCAAAUCUGCAGCCAGGAUCUCUUGGUACAAUUUCUUUUCUGUGACAGUCAGUGCUUUGGAUAAGAUGUGUAUCAGACUGUGAGAGAGCAUCCUCAGAGCUGGGAAUUAUUGCUAUACAGGGUAGGAAAGUCUUGAAUGUUAGCUUAGAGAAGCUUGGAUAUGGUAGGGGGGCCAUCAGUAAGGUAUGCCUGAGGGAAUCAGGAAGAAGCUGAAGGUUUGGAGAGCUGGAGCUGGGGGGGGUUGUGGAGGCCAAGGUAUAGUUUCAGAGUAGGACUGAGACCAGGGCUGAGGCCAAAAGGCGAAACCUGGUCGAAGGGCUACUGAUAGAAUUAUUGCUAAUGUGUAUCCAGCCAUUUAUAUGUGGAAACCAGUGUGAGAGAUACUACUAUUUUGCCAUUUUCAGAUAAGCGCUAGUGUGGUUUAGGGAGCCUAGGGCUUUUAGGAAUUCCAAGAUUAGGUGUUUUCAGAGUAGCAGGUUUGACAGCUGUGGGGAGGUUUACAGCUGUGAUGUUCAUGUUUUCUGAAGCCUCAAUCAAGACAUCCACCAGUCUGAAGGAUGCUCUUUCAACUACCUGACUGGGCACUCAAAGCUCAGAAUUCCCGUGACAUCACCGAGGCUUUGGCCAUGCUUCCACAGGACAGGCAGCUGGGUGAUAGGCAAGUGUCCCAAUGGGGCUGGGAGGACAGCAUGCCUUUCUGAAACUUGGCAUUUUUGUUUUAAAAGCGGUGUGGUGGUUAUGUAGAUCAUACUAUCAUAGUUGUAUCUCGUGGCUGUAAAUAAAGCUCUUGGGCUCCUCAUCAUGGAGGAUAAUGAAUGCUGUGUGAACCUACGGUACCUGUUACAGAGUACCCCUGAGCAUGUCGGCACAUUCCCCGCUGUGGGGAAGGUGGCUUUCUGAGACUGAAGCACGACGCUCUUAAAAUCAUGACACCCGAAGUCAGGGUUGAGUUUGCAUCUAUUUGACUGGGUUGGGUAAUUAAUUGGAGGUUUGCCUAGGAGCAUUGGGAAGCUGUGGGCAGUGGAGGGCCAGGUGUUGGAGCAGGUGGCUGAGCGGUCCUCCCAUUGAUGGGGAGGCAGCCGAAAUCCAGAAGAAGGAUAAGAAUGGCUCUAGUCCCUGCAGGUCAGCGUGGGACCACGGACAAGGUCAUCAGGAAUGAGGCGGAAGAGAGGGACACUAAAGCAGGAUGCACUGGGGGCCCUUGAGGUCUUCCUUCACCUCUGACCUGCCUCCCUCAGCCUUCACUUCAAACUGUUGCCUCAACCCCAGGUGACCAUGGAGGAGGAAGAUGAGUCUCGAGGUAAAACAGAGGAGUCGGGAGAGGAUCGGGGAGACGGUCCACCUGACAGAGAUCCUGCCCUUUCUCCUUCUGCCUUUAUUUUGCGGGCCAUUCAGCAGGCUGUGGGAAGCUCCCUUCAGGGAGACCUGCCUAAUGAUAAAGAUGGCGCUCGGUGUCGUGGCCUACGAUGGAGGCGCUGCUGCCGGAGUCCUCGGUCAGAGCCUCGUUCACAGGAGUCAGGGGCUGCUGACACGGCCACUGUAUUGGACACAGCUGCAGAUAGCUUCCUUGUGGAGCUGGUGAGCAUCCUGGAUCCCCCGGACACCUGGGUUCCCAGCCGCCUGGACCUUCAGCCUGGCGAAAGUGAGGACAUGCUAGAGCUGGUGGCUGAGGUCCGCAUCGGUGACAGGGACCCCAUGCCUCUACCUGUGCCCAGCCUGUUUCCCCGCCUCAGGGCCUGGAGGACAGGAAAGACAGUUUCUCCACAGUCCCAUGCAUCUCGACCUGCCUGUUCCCGUCACCUCACCUUGGGCACAGGGGAUGGAGGGCCUGCUCCACCACCUGCCCCCUCCUCUGCCUCCUCCUCCCCUUCCCCUUCCCCAUCUUCAUCUUCACCUUCUCCUCCUCCUCCUCCUCCACCCCCACCUCCCCCAGCUCUGCCUGCCCCGAGAUUCGACAUCUAUGAUCCCUUCCACCCCACCGAUGAGGCCUACUCCCCGCCGCCAGCCCCAGAGCAAAAAUAUGACCCCUUUGAGCCCACGGGCUCCAAUCCCAGCUCAUCAGCUGGGACACCCUCACCAGAGGAAGAAGAGGAAGAGGAGGAGGAGGAAGAAGAAGAGGGUCUGUCACAGAGCAUCAGCCGCAUCUCAGAAACCCUGGCUGGCAUCUACGAUGACAACAGCUUGAGCCAGGACUUCCCAGGUGACGAUAGCCCCCGCCGGGAACCCCCACCCCCGCAGACGCUGGGAGCCCCAGGGACGCCACCCCAGGCUGACUCUACUCGGGCCGAAGGGGCCCCGCGCCGCAGGGUCUUUGUGUUGGGACCUGAGGCUGAGGCCUGCCAUGAGGGCAAGGUUUCGGUGGAAGUCGUAACGGCUGGUGCACCAGCGCUUUCGCUGCCACCACUACCCCCGACUGACCCGGAGAUAGAGGAGGGCGAGAUUGUGCAGCCUGAGGAGGAGCCCAGGGUGGCAGUUUCACUGUUCCGUGCUGCACGACCUCGUCAGCCUCCUGCCUCUGUAGCCACCUUGGCUUCGGUGGCCGCCCCUGCUGCGCCCCCAGCCUCUGCACCACGUGCCCCUGAGGGUGAUGACUUCCUGUCACUACAUGCUGACUCUGAUGGCGAGGGCGCACUGCAAGUGGACCUAGGUGAGCCACCUGCACCACCGGCCGCUGAUGCCCGCUGGGGCGGCCUGGACCUGCGCCGCAAGAUCCUAACACAGCGACGUGAGCGCUACCGCCAGCGCUCUGCCUCGCCAGGCCCACCUCCUGCUCGGAAGAAGGCUAGACGGGAGCGGCAGCGCAGCGGGGACCCUGCACCACCGGAUUCACCCUCCUGGGAAGCUAAGAAGCACCGUUCACGUGAGCGCAAGCUUGGUUCACACUCCACGGCCCGGCGUCGAUCACGCUCCCGUUCUCGCCGCAGAUCACGCUCCCGCAGCGCUGACCGCAGACGUGGGGGUCACCGCUCACGUUCCCGGGAGAAACGCAGGCGCCGACGGCGCUCAGCCUCUCCACCUCCAGCAGCAUCUUCCUCAUCCUCCUCACGACGUGAACGGCACCGGGGCAAGCGGCGCGAAGGUGGCAAGAAGAAGAAGAAGCGCUCACGCUCCCGGGCAGAGAAGCGUUCUGGGGACUUGGAGAAGCUGCCCGCAUCAGUGCCUCCCUCAGGCUCUGACCGUGACAGCCGACGCCGAGGGGCCGUGCCACCCUCUAUCCAGGACCUCACAGAUCACGACCUGUUCGCCAUCAAACGGACCAUCACAGUAGGUCGCCCCGACAAAGCGGAGCCACGCGCACCUUCACCAGCACCUGCUGUGUCCCCGAAGCGGGAGGUCCUGUAUGACUCUGAGGGUCUGAGUGCUGACGAGCGGGGUGGCAAGAGUGACAAGGACCGGAGGCGUUCAGGGGCUGCAUCCUCAUCUUCAUCCUCAAGGGAGAAAGGGUCUCGACGGAAGGCCCUCGAUGGGGACCGGGGCCGAGACAGGGAUAGGUCAUCCAAGAAGACGCGGCCACCUAAGGACUCGACGCCUGGCUCCGGGCCACUGCCCAAAGCCCCCCCAAGCAGUGGCUCCUCGUCCUCCUCGUCCUCCUGCUCCUCUCGCAAGGUAAAACUGCAGUCCAAGGUGGCUGUGCUCAUCCGAGAGGGCGUCAGCAGCACCACCCCUGCCAAGGAUUCCUCGUCUUCAGGCCUGGGCUCCAUUGGGGUCAAGUUCAGCCGUGACCGUGAGAGCCGCUCACCAUUCCUCAAGCCGGAUGAGCGGGCUCCUGCAGAGGUGGCCAAGGUGGCCCCGGGUAGCAACAAGCCCAAAAAGACCAAGGCCAAGGCCAAGGCUGGGGCCAAGAAAGCCAAGGGGACCAAGGGAAAGACGAAGCCUUCGAAGACGAGGAAGAAGGUUCGCAGCGGAGGCAGUAGCACGGCCAGCGGUGGGCCUGGCUCACUGAAGAAGUCCAAGGCCGACAGCUGCAGUCAGGCAGCAAGUGCCAAGGGGACAGAGGAAACAUCAUGGUCAGGGGAGGAGCGGACCACCAAGGCCCCCAGUACCCCACCACCUAAGGUGGCCCCACCUCCACCCGCACUCACCCCGGACUCCCAGACUGUGGAUAGCAGCUGCAAGACCCCUGAAGUCUCCUUCCUACCAGAGGAAGCCAGUGAGGACACUGGGGUCCGAGUAGGGGCAGAGGAGGAGGAGGAAGAGGAGGAAGAAGAGGAAGAGGAGGAGGAGCAGCAACCUGCCACUACCACAGCCACCAGCACCGCUGCAGCUGCCCCAAGCACUGCCCCCAGUGCAGGGUCUACAGCCGGAGACUCUGGCGCAGAGGAUGGGCCAGCUGCUAGGAUCUCCCAGCUGCCAACGCUACCCCCACCCAUGCCCUGGAACCUGCCUGCUGGUGUGGACUGUACUACCAGUGGUGUCCUGGCCUUGACUGCACUGCUGUUCAAGAUGGAAGAAGCCAACCUGGCCAGCCGCGCAAAGGCCCAGGAGCUGAUCCAGGCCACCAACCAGGUGGGCUCCCAUGGGGAAGAGUCCCCACAGCCCCUUCCUUUGUCCAUUGCUUCGGGGUAGGAGAGGAACUACAACUCCCAGCAGGCCUUAGGGCAAGAUUCUCAGCCACCGGAAGCCAUCAUCCACUCUUGGGGUGACCCCAGCUCCCGUGCCCACUUCCUUGGGUCUGCCCCCAGGCCCCUCCAGCUACCUACUUCCUGGCAGCCUCCCCAUAGGAGGCUGUGGCUCUACCCCUCCUACCCCCACUGGGCUAGCCCCUGCAUCUGACAAGAGAGAGGGCAGCAGCAGCUCAGAGGGACGUGGGGACACUGACAAGUACCUGAAGAAGCUCCACACACAGGAGCGGGCAGUAGAGGAGGUGAAGUUGGCCAUCAAGCCAUACUACCAGAAGAAAGACAUCACCAAGGAGGAGUACAAGGACAUCCUGAGGAAGGCUGUCCACAAGAUCUGCCACAGCAAGAGCGGGGAGAUCAACCCUGUCAAGGUGAGCAAUCUGGUGAGGGCCUACGUCCAGCGCUACCGCUACUUCCGCAAGCACGGUCGCAAGCCGGGGGACCCCCCAGGACCUCCUCGGCCACCCAAGGAACCAGGGCCCCCAGACAAGGGUGGCCCAGGCCUGCCCCUGCCCCCUCUCUGAGAUCCUUACCCUGUCCCUGUGCCUCUGAGAUUCUGGACAUAUUUAUGGCUCCACUUCCCCACUACGCCCCCCCCCCCCCAGUGGGAUGAUGGGGAAGGUUGCUGUGAGGAAGAGGAGAGCCCCCCACCCAGCCGUGUUCCUGCCCGUUGACCUAGCCCUUCAGCCUGCCCCCGACAGCCCCAGCCCUUCUGUCAUGCCCCCUCCAAUUUCAUUAAAGAUUUCAUGAAGUACA